AUAGUUUAUAAAGCGCCAGCGCAAAUUGAAAGCAUGUAUUGUCGACCGAUAUGCUAAAGCAGAGCAUCUCAUAGAUACAUGUAGGAGAUUUGUGGACGAGGAGGAUAGUGAUCGAAUAUGAUCGGCGGAUGCUAUCCCGGAUGUGGCUCAUUCGUUAGCUUAUUAAUUAAAUCAUUAGGGUAACCUAUUGGACAAAGUUAGUAAGAUCGCCAAAC
rfam:Staphylococcus sp. HGB0015 genomic scaffold aczIz-supercont1.2, whole genome shotgun sequence.